ACCCGCUGAACUUAAGCAUAUCAAUAAGCGGAGGAAAAGAAACCAACAGGGAUUGCCCUAGUAACGGCGAGUGAAGCGGCAACAGCUCAAAUUUGAAAUCUGGCGCAAGCCCGAGUUGUAAUUUGUAGAGGAUGCUUCUAGGUAGCGACCGGUCUAAGUUCCUUGGAACAGGACGUCAUAGAGGGUGAGAAUCCCGUAUGUGACCGGCCCGCACCUUCUACGUAGCUCCUUCGACGAGUCGAGUUGUUUGGGAAUGCAGCUCUAAAUGGGAGGUAAAUUUCUUCUAAAGCUAAAUACCGGCCAGAGACCGAUAGCGCACAAGUAGAGUGAUCGAAAGAUGAAAAGCACUUUGGAAAGAGAGUUAAAAAGCACGUGAAAUUGUUGAAAGGGAAGCGCUCACAACCAGACUUCUGGGCGGUGUUCCGCCGGUCUUUUGACCGGUCUACUCGCCGUCCCGAGGCCAACAUCAUCUGGGACCGCUGGAUAAGACCUCAGGAAUGUAGCUCCCCUCGGGGAGUGUUAUAGCCUGUGGUGAUGCAGCGCGUCUCGGGUGAGGUCCGCGCUUCGGCAAGGAUGUUGGCGUAAUGGUUGUCAGCGGCCCGUCUUGAAACACGGACCAAGGAGUCUAACAUCUAUGCGAGUGUUCGGGUGUCAAACCCCUACGCGUAAUGAAAGUGAACGGAGGUGGGAAGCGUAAGCUGCACCAUCGACCGAUCCUGAUGUCCUCGGAUGGAUUUGAGUAAGAGCAUAGCUGUUGGGACCCGAAAGAUGGUGAACUAUGCCUGAAUAGGGUGAAGCCAGAGGAAACUCUGGUGGAGGCUCGCAGCGGUUCUGACGUGCAAAUCGAUCGUCAAAUUUGGGUAUAGGGGCGAAAGACUAAUCGAACCAUCUAGUAGC
rnacentral:rRNA from 1 species